AAGUCGUAACAAGGUUUCCGUAGGUGAACCUGCGGAAGGAUCAUUACUGAGAUAGGGUUCUUUUUGAGCCCGACCUCCAACCCUUUGUUUAAACUACUUUGUUGCUUUGGCAGGCCGCGAGCUCUCGGGCGAGCGCUGGCUUCGGCUAGAGAGUGCCUGCCAGAGGACCCAACUCUGUAAUUUCAGCGAUGUCUGAGUACUAUUAAGUAGUUAAAA
rnacentral:misc_RNA from 1 species